rnacentral:tRNA from 1 species
GGAGAGAUGGCUCAGUGGUUAAGAGCACUGUCUGCUCUUCCAGAGGACCCGGGUUCAAUUCCCUGCAUCCACA